rnacentral:rRNA from 1 species
ACACGUAGGGGGCGAGCGUUGUUCGGAAUUACUGGGCGUAAAGGGCAUGUAGGCGGUUCUGUAAGCCUGACGUGAAAGGCUAUGGCUCAACCAUGGCACUGCGUUGGGAACUGCGGGACUUGAAUCAUGGAGAGGGAGCUGGAAUUCCAGGUGUAGGGGUGAAAUCUGUAGAUAUCUGGAAGAAUACCAAUGGCGAAGGCAAGCUCCUGGCCGAUGACUGACGCUGAGGUGCGAAAGUGUGGGGAUC